ACCUGUCUUGCGACAGCGUGAGUCGCCACGAUGCGCUACACCGCAUUGCUCCUUGUCGCCCUCGCCGGGUCCGCCCUGGCAGGACCAACGGGCCAAAGAUCUACCUGCGCCUUGCACUGCAAUGACGCGGAGAGUUAUGCAUAUCAAAGCGGCAAAAGUUAUAUUUACGAAUACUCGGUGACGACCUCUACCGCCCUCCUGGAAACCUACGAGGAUGACGCCCAAUUACACAUCACCGCCAAUGUCCACAUCGAUGUCCCUGCCCCCUGCGAGUACAUCCUCAAGUUGACCGACGUCAAUCUUGAUGGCACGUCUCAAGGACCAGAGUUCGCUGCUGCUGUUACCAAGUCUCCCUUGCGCUUCUCUUUCCAAGAUGGUCGCGUGGAGAGCAUCUGCAGUGAAGCAUCUGAGCCGGCUUGGGUGCUGAACUUCAAGAGAGGUGUCCUCUCUACCUUCCAGGCCUCCAUGGCCCAUCAGGGUGUUGAGGACAUUAAGGAGACAGACAUCUCUGGCGUUUGCAUGACUCACUACAACGCUACAGUAGAAGGCAGUGUUGUCACCAUGAUAAGGUCAAGGACUUAGCCACUUGUACUCAGCGACCUGACCUGACCUUCAUCCCUCUUACUGGAUACAUCAGUGACUCUCCAGUCCAGAGCCUCCCAAUCUUAGAAGCUCAAGCAAGUGUCACAAAGGGUGGAGGAAGGCCUCUUAAGGAUGGCAGAAGUGAGGAGACCCACGUGUUCCGUCCUUUCUCCAGCGAAAAGGGAGGAGCUGUUACAACUGCCAAGACCACCAUGAUUCUUAUGUCUCAGGAACGACUUACACCUAUCACAGACUUCGACUUCAAGCGCAAUACACUAGCAUUCGAGAACACACUCGCCCGGAAGCCCAGCUUGAAGCAGUUGAGGAGAUCUUGAGCAAUCUGGAGAUUGGUUCUAACAGUGAAAUCCUUCCAGAGGUUCCUUCAUUAUUUGCCAAACUUGUGUCAUCACUCAAGGAACUGAAUUACCCUCAGCUCAACACUAUUUAUAACAAUGCUAAAGAAACUCACGCACGGAAGUUCCUGGUCGAUGCAAUGCCACUAGUGGGAACAGCUGCUUCUUUUGGUGUGGUCAGAGACAUGUUCGUCAAUGGGAUAUGACGGAAUCUGAGGCUGAUGUGUUCUUCACUUCAUGGCUUUCUUCAAGAAUCCAACAGCAGAAAUGUUUACUGCUCUUGCUCCUUUACUCGAGAACAACCCAAGCCAAAAUGCAAUGUUGGGAACUUCUGCUCUCAUCAACACCUUCUGCAAAAUCAGUGAAGACUGUGGUGCCGAUUCCAGUGUACAACAAGUUAUUCGUCGAAUUGAAACACAACUUGGAUCUGGCUGUCGCACAGUGAAUGAAGAAGAGAAAGUCAGGGUACUUGUUGCUCUCAAGGCACUGGCAAUGCUGGUCGAUGGUUAAUGCCAACUCCGUCUUAAGACGGUGCUAUACUGAAGAUAAUGACAUGGAAGUGCGAGUGGCUGCUAUAGAGGCAUGGAGGCACACUCCAUGUGAAUAUGACCGAUCUCACUUUUGGCUGCUUUCCAGAUGAAAUCAGGACACAGAGGUUCGCAUUGCUGCCUACCUUGCUCUCAUGACCUGUCCCACUCCAGAGCUUAUCAACACCAUCAAGGACCGUCUCACUUCAGAAGGUGUCAACCAGGUGGGCUCCUUAUCUGGACUCAAUGACCAACAUGCAGGAAUCAGCUGCUCCAGAAAAACAGUGGGCUCGUCAAAUGAUUGGCGAGGAACUUCUGCAGAAAAAGUUCAGUACGGAAGCCCUCAAGUUUUCUCGCAACUAUGAAUCCUCUUUCUUCAUGAAUGAAAUCAACACUGGUGCCACAGUUGAAAGCAAUAUUAUCUUCUCCAGCAAGUCCUACCUGCCACGUUCUGCAAUGCUUAACCUCACUCUCGACCUCUUUGGACAGUCUAUCAACUUCUUUGAGGUUGGUGGCAGAAUUGAAGGUUUUGAAGCUUAUAUUGAACGCUUCUUUGGUCCUAGAGGAUAUUAUCCUGAGGAAACCAUUGAAACCAUUCUGAGGAAUAUGCGACAGAACAACGAUGCUGAUGCCACCACCCUGGAAGGCUUCCUUGACCAGAUGACUGAUGAACCGGAGGGAUCCUACUAUCUCCGAGUCUUUGGCAAUGAACUUCAUUACCACACUUCUUUGGACUGAAAACCUCAUUCAAACAUCCGGUGCUUCUAACCCACUGGAAUUCUUGAUGAAUCUGGCACGCCAGGGAGAUGUAGAUUACACAAAAUCUUACCAGCUAAUAGACACUCAUCACACCAUUCCCACUGUAACUGGUUUACCUGUGACCCUCACUGCAAAGGGAACAGCUACCCUUGGACUCAAGAUGAAUGGAAAACUUCAAGGCUCGUAGUCUUAAGAAUAUAAACAUCGAAGGACACCUCCAUCCUUCUGCCGCAGUUCAAAUGAUGGCACUAUGCUUGUCGAUGCCCAUGUGUCUCGCACUGGGUCAAGAUGUCUUCCAAUCUUCACACCUCCACAUUCCUCGAUGGCAAGCUUCAAAUCAACGGCGGUAAACUAGUCGACGUUGCCUUCAACACACCUAAGGACAAGAUGGAAGUUAUCAAUGUCAAGACCGAGUUCUUCUAUCUGGAAGAUGAUCAAGAGAUCCGAAAAGAUGUUGCAAACCUCAUCCAAGAAGAGAGCUGCACUAGUGGAGUCACUGGCAUUGCCUUGUGUGGUGAAUACAGCUAUGCUCCAAGCUCAGAAUAUGGCCCAAGCUUCCCUUCACAGGACCUUUGCAACAAGUGUUCAUUUCAAGAAGACAAACACUCAGACUGGAUAUGUCCUGCGCUACACUCAUGAGGAUGAUCAGUUGUUUUCGUGUUUGAUACCCAGGAUCCCAAACAGAUCGUAAAGUCUUGCUUACUAUUACUAAGGCUGCUAAAGCAAUCAGCUUUGACCUGUACACACCAUUUAAAUCAGUUCAAGGCAAGGGCGAAUAUCUCUGGCAGAAGAAUAACAAGAACACUAAACUGGAACUCCUCGUUGAUGGCAACCAACAAUACAUGCUGGAGACUGGUCUACGUACAAGCGGAAAAACAGUCAAGACAAUUGUGCCAUCCUUCAUUCUCACUUCCCCUGCUGGUCAAGUAUUGAAUAUACAAGGGAACUUCCAGGCCAACGCAGAAGCUGCUAAAUAUGUUGCGGAUGUUACUGUCUCAGAGCUGACUGCAUCUCCCAUCACUGUACACGGUAAGCAUCGUUUUUUAGGGCGAAAGUAACUCUGUAGCCAUGAACGUGAUCUGAAAACACCGAUCAUUGACACAUUAAUCAAGAGUGAGUUUGGUUAUGGUGAGAACUUCCUUUCAUCCAAGGUGGAUGCAGAGUACAGAAUUAUGAAAAAGGCCAAACAGACAGUUCACCAUUCUGCCCUUCUCAAGAAGGAAAUCACAGAGGACCUCUACAAGUACACUAUUGUCUUUGACGUCUCUCCAUCACAGUACCCUGAAAUGGCACUAGAGUAUAACCAGGACAUCGUCCUUUCAAAGGGACGCAUGGAAAACAACGCUAAGCUUGUUCAUGGCCCUGCCACAUGGAACGCAAAUGAAGUGGUAUCCUAUGCCAACAACAAUGGUCGGCGUGAUUUGAACAUCCACUCGACACUUAUUUGCCCACACUAUGAGAUCGACAUUUCUGGCUCUUAUGACUUGGAGUUCUCUCCAAAUCACCUGAGGAGUGAAUAUCACCUUCGCCUGUCUCCUGGGAGAGAACAGUCUAUCUUAGUCGAACUCAGUCAUCAGUAUGAUGUCGAAACACUUGGACGCAUCAACGUGCAGGCUGAGGACCUGAAGUCUUCCUUUGAAUUUGUUUUCAAUAAGAUUGCGCUGGCCACUACAAAGCUCAAGUGACUGCUGAAUUUAAUGAGAAAGAAAUGGCUUUGGAAGGAAACUUAAGGAUAAUUCCGUGGCCGGUAAAAUCAAUACCAUUGUCGAUGGAUUCUUCAAGACAUCUGACUUCGACUGGAAAUCCAACCUCGGUAUCUAUGCAGACGAGGACAAAGCCAAUGUUAACUUCAAGAUUAAUUCCGACAGGAAACGAAUACAUGGCCAAGUUUGAGGGCACCGCACUUCCUCCUAAUUGAAUCGAACUUCGUCAAACACAUUCUUGUCAAUGCCCACGUAACCAGUACACAGGACAUGAAGAAACUACAUGUUGCUGCCGAAUGGGACAAAGAUGUAGAUCCUACAAAAGCUUUCGUCAUUGACGGACAGUUUGCUAAUGGCGAAGUCGGAGCGGCAUUUAGAUAUGGCGAGAGGGAAGUGUCCAUCAUUGGCAAGCUAAUUGACAGUGGUGUGGAGGUGGAAACUAAAUGGGCUGCUGACAAGAGAAUCUUUGUCAAUGUUCACUACACACUUGGGAAUACCAAGUCGCUGGCAGCUACAGUGCAGACGCCAUUCAAGGCUGGGAAAAAACAGGAUGCCACCUUUACCUUCUCCAUCACUGAUCAUGAAGUUGAGAGUCGCUUUUCUGCUACAUGGAGGAACACACAGCAAAUGGCACUUACUGUCACUGGCAAGGUAGAACCUGGACUCUUUACCAAUGCUCUUUCCACCAAAGUUGCAUUCACAAGCACCUUUGAUAACUAUGAGCGUAUCUCAUUCUCUCUGGAUCACAACAUGGUUGAUUCCACCAUCAAGACUCAAUUGGAGGGUGCCUGGAACCAAGAGAAAAUGGAAGGCAGCUUCCAACUCACUCCUAACACAAAUGGUGUAAAUGCUCGAGCUACCUUCACUUCCCCUGUCACAGAGAACAUCCUUGUGGCAUUGCAUCAUGAAUUACUCAAUAAGCAAUUGUCUACUACAUUUGAAGUGAAAUAUGGACAAGAGAUCUCUACUGCUACUGCCACGGGUCACGUGGACCUCGGUGAUGUGCAUGACAUCAAUCUGGCGUUUAAAGUUGACACCCCUGUUUCUUUGAUCCCUGAGAUAAAUGCCAAUCUUAAAUACUCUCUGAGUGGACAAAGUCUCAACUUGAUAACUGAAGGUAAAAUUGGGGAGAAGAAAAUCAUGCUUAAUGUAACUGGCCAGAGGACUGUCAACAGUGACACUACAGACAUUUCUGGAGACGUGCGUUUUAUCACUCCUUUCACCUACCCUCUGACAGCAUCUCUCAAGCACAACCAUGACACAGAGCACUUUACAUCACAGUUUGAGAUGACAAGGAUCUGGUCUACAUACGGUAGUGUCAAGGUGCAUGCUCAAGGAAACAUGGUCUCCAAGAAUGAUGUAGAAUUCAAAGUUGAUGUUUCUAGCCCAGUAAGUAAGGGUUCAAUCGCCUUCAAGCACACUGUUACUAACACCAAGAUGGAUUCCUCAGUUGAUGUCAUUUUCAACUCUGAACGUAUUCAUGUGUCUGUGGGUGGUCUUCUGGAUGUGUCCAGGAGCUUAGCAAACAUUGAAGCUGAAGUUACUUCCACUUUCAGUGGCCUAGAUGAUAUAAAAGUCACCAUUGAUAGCAAGAAGGAGGGCAACACAAGAACCUCCAACAUAGUCCUCAUGAAAGGAACAAAAUCUGUUGUAAUUGACCAUACCAUUGUCUUCAAUGAUUGGUUCAACUGGGGAAAUUCCUUCAUUGUAAAUGGAGUCUACAAAUUAGAUAAUAAGCAGAUGCAUGCUGGCUCUCUGUACAAACACCAACUUGAGUAUAUGUGGGAUCGCCAACUUGUGCAAUUCGAGGGAACUUUCGACAAGAGGAUCUCUGGAAAUACCCGUCAGAUUGAUGCACAAGUCUCCCUUUCCACUCCUUGGACUGAGGACAUGAAACUUGAUUUACAUCACCAAGAUGAUGGUGUUGAAUACAAACCAACCCUUAUCUUUGAGUACAGGCCUGGAAUGAAGAUUGAAGUUGCCUCUGUUCUGAAAUGUGACUCAUCGUUCUUAUACAUUGCAUCCACUCUUACAACACCAUUCUGGCAGCCACUGGGAUACAAACUCAACAUUGAAUUCCUGCCAAGAAAGACUGCCACUCUUGUUUUAACACGAGGAGCUAACAGAACUACUAUUGACAUCACAGGAAACUAUGAACAAGGAAAGAUAGAUGGUGAGUUGCAUAUUGAUUCUACAUACCUUACCAAACCAGUUUCUCUGGAAGUGUUCUAUGACAUCAUUUCAGCUGAAAAGAAAGUGAACUUGGUGCUUGAUUUUGACAAAAGGUAUGAGAUAACAGGAACCAUUGCUGGUCACCUUAAACAAGCUAAAUGGUCUCUUAUAACUGAACUUCCUCUUGAAGCUGUACAGAAACUUGGUUUCAGUGGUGAGUACAAUGUUGAAGUCAUGCCCUUCACUGCCCAUACAGUAUUGGUUUUCAACACCCAGAAAUACCAGGUAAAUAGCAAGAUCAAUGCAGAUGAAUUCCAAAUCAAUAUGGAUUUCAAUGGAAAAACCGGAAGUUUAGUCAGCAGUUGGAACUACCAGGAGAGCUAUGCUGAUGUUGAAAUCGACUUCCAAUCACCAUUUACAACACUGGACAAUAUGUCUGUCUCAGGAAUGUAUGACUUCCGUAGUGAAAAGAAAGUGACCCUUAAGAUGACCCGUAACUCAAAGGAAAUCAACCUGUCUGGGCGACUUGAAGGACAAACCAUUGUUUUCGAAGGCACAACUCCAUUCAGUGGAUGGGAAACCCUUAAGGCCUCAUUCUUCAUUUCCAGUUCUGCUGUUAAAGCCUUUGUGUCCAGGAAUGACCGUAAGGUUGAGGUUACAGGAACACUGCACAUCAGAAAAGUCAAGGGAAAGAUUAAUCUCACCAUUAAUACUCCAUAUGCUGGCUAUGAAACCGUUUCUGUUGACACAAACUACAGCUUACAGGGCCAAGUGAAAACAGUGGGUUUGAAGCCAAAUUGGCUCACAGAACUCUCCUUAAAGGGAGACAUCAAGACAAACAAACAUUUUAGCUCCUGAGAUGAUCUCAAUAUCAUUACUCCAUUUGAAGCUAUAAGAACUCUUGGUGGAGAAGCUCACUGGGACCUGAGAAACCUUGUCAAGACUGCCGAAGUGAAGGCUUUCCGCAAUGAUCGCCACUACCACUGGCAGCUAGAGACAGCUGCUGAUAGUCCCCUAAAGGGUUAUGCCAAUUCCAAGAUCACAACUCCCAUUGCUGGAUGGACGACAGUCAGUUUGGAAGGAAACUUUGAUUUCACCUCCAUGCCUUACAGGGCACUUUUUACUUACAACAAAGAAGCAGUUAUCAGAACAUUUGAAGUACAAGUCAGUGUAGCAGAAAAUGCAGUAUCUGGUGAAAUUACAACACCAAUCUCUGGAUGGGAGAAGAUUGCUUUGAAUGGCGAUUAUUCUCUGGCCAACAACCUUCUGACCGGAAAUGUGGAGAUCACCAAGAGUUCUGACAAAUAUCAUCUCAAUGGGGAUAUUGCUUUUAAUACUCAGAAGCCUAAGGUAAAUAUUGGCAUCAGGACACCUCUAGCAAAUGCUGCUAAUAUUGAGCUGGUUCUUGAUGCUAAUCUAGUCGAUACAGAAAAGAAUUUCCAUAUUACCUUCAAAAGGAAUGACAUUACUUACUCUGCAGAUUUCACAGGCCAAAUUAUCUAUAAGACAGGAUUCAUGAAGCUGCAUACAACUUCGCCCAUUCCAGGUUUUACAUCCCUGGAUGUUGAUGCCAAAUACGACUUUACUGGAGAUGUGAAAACUGCUGAAGCCAAUCUUAUGAAGGAAGGAAAUAACCAGCAUAUCUCACUGACUUCCACAGUCAAUGACAACAAUUUCCAUGUUGAAGUUGAAACACCAUUUGCUGGUUUUGAAUCUGUGAAGAUGGAUGGUGAUUACACAUACCUCAAUAAUAAACACAGUGUCACAGCUUCAUUUGAGAAGAAUAGUCUGAAGUAUAACUUCAAUGCUGAGAUUUCACUCAAUACCAACUCUGUUACCCUGAUGCUGACAACCCCAAUAGUAGACAUUAAGCAUGUUGUCAUUAAUGGCAAUUACCAGGCCAUUGAGAAUGGAAUGGAAUGCUCCCUUGUUGUUGAAAGAAACCAGGAUAAGUUUGAGUUUGAUACUCGUGGAUAUUUCACACCCAAGAAAUCAGACCUACACCUCUCACUAGAGACACCUGUUGAGGGCUGGAGGAAGCUAGAGCUGGAUACCCAUUAUGAUAUUAUCUCUGACAAGAAGUCUGCUGAGAUCUCUUUCCAAGGAGAUUCACUGAUGAAAAAGCUGUAUGUUGAGGGUAGCUAUAAUCUGAAAUAUGGAUCUUUUAAGGUUAUGACUCCUAUUGAGGAUUUCAGAGUCCUGGGUGCUGAAUAUACACUAAACCUUGAUGAAUACAACAAGAAAUUGGAUGCUUCUGUUAAGAUCAGUCAAAAUUCCAAUGAAUGGGCCUUCGAGGCAAAUGGACAAUACAGUGAUGAUAACAUUGUUAUAAAGUUCCAGACACCAUUUGAGGGCUUUGAUACUAUUGCUGUUGAAGGCAAUCUAAACUAUGGAAACAGAUCUGGAAGAGGUGUCAUUCAAUUUGGGUCUUAUAAGUUUACCACCAGCAUUACUUAUGCAAAUGACAACAUGUCCUUUGAGCUGACGACUCCCUUUGAUGCAAUGAAGACUGUGUCCCUUUCAGCUCAGUACAACUGGACUACCAGCCAAAAGAGUGCUACUCUAAACAUCACUUACAAUGACAAGAACUUCGUUCUCUCCAGUUCUCUGCAGCUCUCUACAAGGGCCUCUGACAUCACCUUCCAGGCCGGAACUCCUUUCAAGGGUUUCCAGAACACUUUCAUUGAAAUUAAGUAUGAUGUUGAUAACAGAGAGGAGCUCCUUGCAUCCCGUGUCAGUGUAGAUGAUCACAAAUACAGCUUUGUUGUAGGUGGAUUUAUUGAAGACAAGCUAGCCAUGUUCAAGUGGAACCUUAACUCUCCUUUCAGUGGCUGGACUGAUGCCAAGUUUGUAGCAAAGAUUGAUCUUUCCAGUGAAAAUAAAAACAUUGAAAUCUCCCUUGAGAAAGAAGGAGACCUUAAAGCUAUUGCAGUCUUGCAAGUUCAUUGGCAGUACAUUGGACUUUAAUCUGCAAACUCCUUUCAGAGGGCUCAAUAAUUUCAACGUGUUUGGAUCUCUUAACCGGUCCAAGAGGUCUCUUGAAAUGAGAAUGAUGAAUGAUGCAGGACAAGUAUCUUUAGCUGGCAAUUUCAAUUCCCUCAGAUUCAACAUGAAGACUCCAUUUGAAAGAGCAGAACAGAUCUCCUGGGAGAUCACCAAGACUGGUGAAGGCUCCUACAAAGCUGAAUGGAGGAGGAAUGAUAAUUAUGCCAUACUCACAACAGAAAAGGAUGGAAAGAAAAAUUCUUUUCAAGUGAAUGUGAAGAGUGAGUUUCAGGGAUGGGAGAUCCUGGCUCUUACUGGAAGACUGGACGAAGGGACAAAACAAGCCUACCUCAGUGGAGCCAUCAAUGAACAGAAGAUCACUAUCUCUGGAUCAGGUUCCUUUGGUAGCAGAAGCAAUUAUAGCAUGAAGAUUGAAACUCCCUAUGACAACUACAGAGUUGUAAAUGUCCAACUUGAUUAUUUGAAGAGAAGGAAUACAAUGAAGAUUGAGGCCUCUUCAUCCUCUUCUGAUUUCCAUCUUCUUUGGUCACACUCAGGAUCAGGCAUUGAAGCUCACCUUAUUGUACCUAAUUCACAGCAGAAUACUGAAAUUUCCAUCAACCUGGCCCCUACUCAAGGAAAAAUAACCAUAACAUCACGAUUUGAGCCUAUCAGGGACUACCUCCAGGAAUACCAUGUUAACUUGGGUGAGACUGUUAUCACUGCUGAUCAUAUUAUCAAGCUGAAUGGUCAUGAGGUUUUCAAGAUGGAAUUUGAGAGGAAUGCUCCUGAACAGAAGGGACACCUAGAAAUUCACAUUCACGUUGCAGAACGUCACACAACCAUCCACUUCCAUCGUGAAGGCUUUAGCAAGCUUAAUUUCCUGUUUAAACGUGAAGUACCACAGUAUGGUGAAAAACACUUCAAGGUCGACAUAACUGGAUCAGGAGCAUUGCCAGAAAAGGGUGCACUUGAUAUUGCUGUUGAGAACACUUUUCGUGAACCAGCUAGGACCAUCAAUGCACGUGUUGAAGUAGACCGGACUGGCGCCCAAAAGAAAAUUUUGCUGGAGAUUAUUCCUAGACAAAGCAGACUGUAUGCUUUUAACCUUGAAUAUGAUGCAGACCUUCAAAGCCCACGACAUGGAGACUUCACUUUGAGUAUUACAACUCCAAGCAGGCGAGCAGCCCCAUGGCAGAAUAUAUCUGGAAAUUGGAAUGUUGAAAAUCCAAAUGAUGCUACAAUAACCUUCACAAUGGGCAACAUCACUUAUAAUGCCAGAGGAAAACUUACUCUUCGAGAAUCCACCAUGAUACUCUCUUCAACAAAUUCAUCAGCUGAGAACAUUUACCUCCAGUGGAAAUUUGAACGAGAUGGCAGCACUAGAGAUUAUUUCCUUAAGCUUGGCCGUGAGUCCAAAUAUGGAAUGCUGAAGCUGAAGGGAACAAUUAUUGAUAUUGCUCAUGUGGAUAUUGAAGGAGGCCUCAAGGCUGGACCAUUCAUGCCAAAUGAGUUUCUGUUUACCUCUAUGUGGAACAAGGCUAAUGGUGUAGUCACUGGAGAAGGUACAUUUGAUUAUGGAAACUAUCAUGGCUCCCAUCGCCUAGUAAAGUUUGAACGAAAUGCAGAAAGGAAAUCGGCAUCCUUUGAAUGGUCAGCAACUUCAAAUAUUCCCCAGUACAACUCUGUUUCGGUUUCAGGAAAUUAUGACUUUGACCACAAAGUUGUUAUCUUUGUCUUCAUAAAUGCUGAUGGUAGAGAAUCUAAAAUUGAUGUUAACAUUGCUGAUAUCAACCCCACAAUAUCUCGUAAUACAGCAAUGAUUUCUAUCCCACUCCUAGGAUCUACAUUUGAAAGAACAGAACUCACUGUCAGUCAUGACUUUAGCCAUCCAAACCGAAAAUCUAUCUCAGCUGUUGCAAAGUUUGGUCGUUCAGAAUCCUUCAUUAAUGCCAAGUGGAACCGAAGUGAUGGUUUUGAAACCCUUGAAGGAAAAAUAGAGGCCAAAUCUAGAUUCCUUGGAGAUAUUCUAAUCAACGUCAGGUAUAACAUGUCCAAUAUUGCAGAUGCUUAUGCUGAAGUUGACUAUUCAAGAACGACAACAGAUGGUGACAAAAAGGAAUUCAAACUAAACUGGACUAGGAAAUCUACUGAUGACCAUCUUGAAAAUGAAAUGAUCUUUGACUCCAACUUUGAGACCCUGUCACAUGCACGUGCAUAUGCAAUGCUGAGUAUGGUAACAAUUUCAAAUUGUUAUCUGGGCUGGAUUGGAAUGAGAAGAAAAUUAACCUUACCCUUGAAGUUCGCAAAAAUAAGAUUUCAGGAAUGCUUACCACACCAUUUGAAGGAUUUGAAACAAUAGAGGUAGACCUGCAGUAUAAGCUUACUGGUAAGGACAAGUCAAUUAAUGCAACAUAUCAACGUGGAGAUAGGAAGGCUAGCCUCAAUAUGGAGUUGAGCAUGAAGGGUAAAAAAGGAGGUUCGUUUAAAGUUGAUCUCAGUACACCUUUUGAAGUGGUGAAAAACCUUCAUAUUGAUGGUCAGUAUGAAAAUAAAGUGGCUCAAGUUAAUUACCAAAGAAACGAUAUUCACAUGAACUUCAAUGGAAAGGCUAACAUCAAGUCAAGUAAAGCUUCCUUUGACAUUUCAUUCACACCUCCCAGCGGACAAAAUAUCAGGAUAGCUGCUUCAUAUGAUGUACAGGACUUCAUUGCUGGUACAGGAACUGAGGAGAAGGAACUAGCUAGUCUUUCACUUGAAUUUGAAGGUAACUCAUUGGACUUCAGCCUUCAUGGCUUCCGCAAUGAUGACAGACUCUAUGUGAUGAUUCAUGGGUCUUCCUCCUUUGCAGUGCUCAAGAUGUUCCAUCUCAAAUUAGAUUCUGAACUGAAUACUCAGGCAAGGGAUGGCACUUUUGAACUCACUUUCAAUGAUUUUAAAUUCAAUGUAAGCAAUCACUUGAAAGACGAGAAGACAAUGGUUAUUACUUUAGAAGCAAGAUUGAGUCGACACUCACUCCCUCCCAGCACUGAUCAUUGGUCUUGGGCGUGAAGGUAAGAACGUAUCAUAACCGUUGGUUAUGGAGAGGACAAAGAGAUUACUUUCUCUAUAAAAGGUAAGAACAACUUCCUUUCUGGAUUUUCGGGCAAGGUUGACAUUCCCUCCCUAAAUUAUGAAGGAGUGGAAUAUGAUGUGGAUUACAGCUUCCCAGGUGAUAAUCACCUCCAGAUUCAUGUCGAGAUUGACUUAAACGAAAACGAGCAAGAAGUGGAGGCAACAUUCUUCCUGGAUUCAGAAGGUAUCAAGGCUCGCUGUCAUCCACUGUACUGGGUGACCAUUCCUUGCGUGUUCGUCGAUCAGUGUCCCUGAUGGCUUUUAUGCUGAAGCUGUCUGAUGAUUACAGCCUGAAAUUGCGAGGAGGCUUCAAGAACGAAGAUACCGCACGGGGUGUACUACUGGAAGGAGAAGUAUUUGGUAAUAGAUUCCUUGUUGACACCUUAUUCCAGUGUGAAGGAAAGCGAUAUUCUGAGGGUAAACUUAUCAUCCACACUCCAUUCCCUGGCAUGGAAAAGAUGGGUGGCCUAUUCACAUGGUCUAAUGCAAACAAGAAAAUCAUGGCCCAUGCUGAACUACAUCUUCCUUCUUAUAUAACACCUACAAUUACUGGUGAGAUUAGCCUAGACCUUAAAAAGAAGAUCAAUGGUUAUGUCACGCUUGACGUAGCUGGAGAGGAAUUCACCCUGAAGUGCAAUCUUGCUGGUUCUUCCAUUUCUCAAGGUUAUACAGGUUCACUUGAAUUCUAUACUCCAUUCCAUGCUGUAUCACAUGUUAUGUUGACAGGCGACAUAAAAAUGCAGGCAUUGUCCUUCCUUGACAUGGAAGUAAAAAUUGAAGCACCUUUUGCCACACAUGACCUUAAACUGAAAUACCAGCUUAGUGCUGACAAAGUCUCUGGGGAAGCUUUCCUUGAGUCAACAAGGUUGUAUAACACCAUUCAGCUAAGCCUUAAUCUUGAGGGCCUCAGCACUGGAAAUGUAGAGGUUGACUUGACUGUCAAUGACAACAAGAUUAAUGCACAUUACAUUUUGGCUCAAUCCACUUCAAAUUCGACGUGACAACCGUAUUUUAGCAAGGAACGCCAGUUCUCCAUUGAAGCUAAGUAUCCAUCUCUGGAGAGCCUCGAGGGUGUAGUUGCUGUUACUCUGGAAGGUGAAAGCACAUGGUUAGUGGAAGCCUGAACAUCGUUAACAAAUCGUAUCCAAGGAGCCCUGGAUUUGGAAUCUGACUUAUCAGCGGCCACAGAAACUGAUGUUCGACGUUUCCAAGCCAAGUACUUCUAUAAACAAGCCUCAUUUAAAAUCAUUUUCACUAGCAGUGACCCUCAUUCCUUCUACCUGGAUUUGGAUCUAAGAAGUGGGCUUAUGCUACUGUAAAGAUUGAUACACCGUUUUUCCAAAAGUUACCACUACCCUGCAAGUAACCCCUGCUGUUGCUGGAAUCACCGUCGAGACCCCCAAAGGAACACACAAGUUCAGGUUAGCUGGCGCCAGACUCGUAGAAUGCCAUCUGACUGGAUUGCUUCCUAGAGCUGAUCUCUCCAUUGCUGCCUGAGAACUACCUCUUCAGUGUAACCUUGGAAGUAAACACAUCAUGGCUGAGCUGCAGACAGGGAGCAUAAAGCACAAUCUUGAAGCCAGAACCUCAAUGUCUAACUAUGGUGGUGAUUGUCUCUCAUGAUUGACACACCCUUUAAGAAUAUCAAUAAAGUUAUGUUGAUGCCUCACUCAACUUCCAGAACAAUGUUGAACUGUAUAUCACAGCCAAGUUUGCCAACACAGUCAAUUCCUUCCGUUCAAUUGGAUAAGGAAAACAGGAAGCUAAUUAGCAUUGUGGAAUCUCCAACAUUCCAACGGGAAUUUGGG